rnacentral:rRNA from 1 species
UACGUAGGGGGCAAGCGUUGUCCGGAUUCAUUGGGCGUAAAGAGCUCGUAGGCGGUUUGGUAAGUCGGGUGUGAAAUCUCCACGCUCAACGUGGAGGGGCCACCCGAUACUGCCAUGACUGGAGUCCGGUAGGGGAGUGUGGAAUUCCCGGUGUAGCGGUGAAAUGCGCAGAUAUCGGGAGGAACACCAGUAGCGAAGGCGGGUCUCUGGACAGUUCCUGACGCUGAGGCACGAAGGUCAGGGGAGCAAACGGG